UACGAAGGGGGCUAGCGUUGUUCGGAAUCACUGGGCGUAAAGGGCGCGUAGGCGGCUUUAUAAGUCGGAUGUGAAAGCCCAGGGCUCAACCCUGGAAGUGCACUCGAUACUGUAAGGCUCGAGUACUGGAGAGGUUGGUGGAAUUCUCGGUGUAGAGGUGAAAUUCGUAGAUAUCGAGAGGAACACCGGUGGCGAAGGCGGCCAACUGGACAGAUACUGACGCUGAGACACGAAAGCGUGGGGAGCAAACAGG
rnacentral:rRNA from 1 species